rnacentral:rRNA from 1 species
CCUACGGGAGGCAGCAGUGAGGAAUAUUGGUCAAUGGACGAGAGUCUGAACCAGCCAAGUAGCGUGAAGGAGGACUGCCCUGUGUGUUGUAAACUUCUUUUAUAUGGGAAUAAAAUGUUCCACGUGUGGGCUUUUGUAUGUACCAUAUGAAUAAGGAUCGGCUAACUCCGUGCCAGCAGCCGCGGUAAUACGGAGGAUCCGAGCGUUAUCCGGAUUUAUUGGGUUUAAAGGGAGCGUAGGUGGAUUUGUAAGUCAGUUGUGAAAGUUUGCGGCUCAACCGUAAAAGUGCAGUUGAAACUGGCAGUCUUGAGUACAGUAGAGGUGGGCGGAAUUCGUGGUGUAGCGGUGAAAUGCAUAGAUAUCACGAAGAACUCCGAUUGCGAAGGCAGCUCACUGGACUGCAACUGACACUGAGGCUCGAAAGUGUGGGUAUCAAACAGGAUUAGAUACCCUUGUAGUC